rnacentral:rRNA from 1 species
UACGGAAGGUCCGGGCGUUAUCCGGAUUUAUUGGGUUUAAAGGGAGCGUAGGCAGUUUUUUAAGCGUGCUGUGAAAUGUACCGGCUCAACCGGUGAUGUGCAGCGCGAACUGGGAAUCUUGAGUACGCAGUAAGCAGGCGGAAUUCGUGGUGUAGCGGUGAAAUGCUUAGAUAUCACGAAGAACUCCGAUUGCGUAGGCAGCUUGCUGUAGCGUAACUGACGCUGAAGCUCGAAGGUGCGGGUAUCGAACAGG